UUUAACCCUUGUGGAGAAGGACGCCGAAGGUGGGGCUGAUGACUGGGGUGAAGUCGUAACAAGGUAGCCGUACCGGAAGGUGCGGCUGGAUCACCUCCUAACAGGGAGACAAUAAAUUGAUUGUGAUGUUUAAGUUAUUUAUUCUUAGGCCGCAAUCCUGUCACCUUAAGGUCGAUCGGUACCUCAGAUUUUUGAAUUAGUUUUAUAAUUGAUUCUUUGAUUUCAGUUCCUAAACUUGUCUAGGUCACACCCAACAAAGGUUUCUCCUGGGCCAUUAGCUCAGGUGGUUAGAGCGCACCCCUGAUAAGGGUGAGGUCCCUGGUUCAAGUCCAGGAUGGCCCAUUCGUUGUUGGGGGUAUAGCUCAUGGCGGAUACCUUGGCACACAGAGGCGAUGAGGU
rnacentral:misc_RNA from 1 species